AUUUAGUUCUUCCCUGUAAUGAAUGAGAUGAAGAGCAAGCUGAAAGGCAGAGAGUUAAUCUGGAAAAAAACAACAGCAGGCAACCCAGAUGCUCUGAGAACAUUCAAGAAUAAGUCACAUUCACAGUAGUGACAGAAAUACGGAAGGCGUGGCUGAGAUCCCACAAGAUGUCUAACCACUUCUGACAAGUUAAAUGUGAGCAUAAAGAAUGUUCUCCUACAAGCAGAGAAAGCACAAACACUGUACAUCGAUCCACCUGCCAGGCACAGAAGCUUGAAUGAUCGUGCUGGAAGGGACCACAGGGAGUUCCUGGUCCAAACUCUUGCUCAUAGCAGGUUCAACUCAUUUUGCUUAAACUACAGGCAGUUGGAUCCUGACACCAUCAAAAGGUGGAGGUUGUUUAAUCCUUCUAGGCAACCUGUGCCAUAGUCUCACUGUCUUCCAUGUUGUGAAAGAAAAU